GCCGGGAUGGUGGAACUGGUAGACACACAAGACUUAAAAUCUUGCAAUCCUUGUGGUUAUGCGGGUUCAAGUCCCGCUCCCGGCACCA
rnacentral:tRNA from 1 species